rnacentral:rRNA from 1 species
GGGGAAACCGGCGAACGGGUGAGUAACACGUGAGGAACCUGCCCAGUACACCGGGAUAACCGCGGGAAACCGUGGCUAAUACCGGAUAUUCCACCGAGAUCGCAUGGUCAUGGUGGGAAAGCUCAGGCGGUACUGGAGGGCCUCGCGGCGUAUCAGUUAGUUGGUGGGGUAACGGCCUACCAAGACGACGACGCGUAGCUGGAGUGAGAGCUCGAACAGCCACACUGGGACUGAGACACGGCCCAGACUCC